rnacentral:rRNA from 1 species
ACGCGUUGGGAGCUCUCCCAUAUGGUCGACCUGCAGGCGGCCGCGAAUUCACUAGUGAUUCGUAUUACCGCGGCUGCUGGCACGAAGUUAGCCGGGGCUUAUUCUUGCGGUACCGUCAUUAUCUUCCCGCACAAAAGAGCUUUACAACCCUAGGGCCUUCAUCACUCACGCGGCAUGGCUGGAUCAGGCUUGCGCCCAUUGUCCAAUAUUCCCCACUGCUGCCUCCCGUAGGAGUUUGGGCCGUGUCUCAGUCCCAAUGUGGCUGAUCAUCCUCUCAGACCAGCUACUGAUCGUCGCCUUGGUGAGCCAUUACCUCACCAACUAGCUAAUCAGACGCGGGCCGAUCCUUUGGCGAUAAAUCUUUCCCCCGAAGGGCUCAUCCGGUAUUAGCUCCAGUUUCCCGGAGUUGUUCCGAACCAAAGGGCACGUUCCCACGUGUUACUCACCCGUCUGCCACUCCCGUAUUGCUACGAGCGUUCGACUUGCAUGUGUUAGGCCUGCCGCCAGCGUUCGUUCUGAGCCAUGAUCAAACUCUAAUCGAAUUCCCGCGGCCGCCAUGGCGGCCGGGAGCAUGCGAC